ACGCCUACGGGGCGCAGCAGUGAGGAAUAUUGGUCAAUGGUCGGGAGACUGAACCAGCCAAGCCGCGUGAGGGAUGAAGGUACAGAGUAUCGUAAACCUCUUUUGUCAGGGAACAAAGGCGGGGACGCGUCCCCGGAUGAGUGUACCUGAUGAAAAAGCAUCGGCUAACUCCGUGCCAGCAGCCGCGGUAAUACGGAGGAUGCGAGCGUUAUCCGGAUUUAUUGGGUUUAAAGGGUGCGCAGGCGGUCUGUUAAGUCAGCGGUCAAAGCCCGGGGCCCCACCCCGGUCCGCCGUUGCAACUGGCG
rnacentral:rRNA from 1 species